rnacentral:rRNA from 1 species
CCUACGGGCGGCAGCAGUGAGGAAUAUUGGUCAAUGGACGAGAGUCUGAACCAGCCAAGUAGCGUGAAGGAUGACUGCCCUAUGGGUUGUAAACUUCUUUUAUAUGGGAAUAAAAUGUUCCACGUGUGGGAUUUUGUAUGUACCAUAUGAAUAAGGAUCAGCUAACUCCGUGCCAGCCGCCGCGGUAAUACGGAGGAUCCGAGCGUUAUCCGGAUUUAUUGGGUUUAAAGGGAGCGUAGGUGGAUUGUUAAGUCAGUUGUGAAAGUUUGCGGCUAAACCGUAAAAUUGCAGUUGAAACUGGCAGUCUUGAGUACAGUAGAGGUGGGCGGAAUUCGUGGUGUAGCGGUGAAAUGCUUAGAUAUCACGAAGAACUCCGAUUGCGAAGGCAGCUCACUGGACUGCAACUGACACUGAGGCUCGAAAGUGUGGGUAUCAAACAGGAUUAGAUACCCCAGUAGUC